UUGUACUUUUAAUUUCAGGUUCAAGGUGUAAAUUGCUAAUAUAUAGAAAUGCAAUGGAUUUUUGCAUGCUUCUGUGUUCUGACACUUUGUAAAUUUUCAUUCUUCUAGAAAUUUCUGUACGUUCCUUUGUAUUUUCUAUAUAUACCACCUCAAAAAUAUUCCUGUUGAUUCUGUGACAAAUCACCACAGCCUGAAUGACUUUAACAAAUUUAUUCUCUUACAGUUCUGGAGGCGAAAUGUGUAAAAUGGAUCCAUAGCGCCGUGCUCCGUCUGGAUGUGCCAGGAUCCUGUGAUUUUUCCUGUCGAGCCUGUUAACAUGAUGGCUCAUACUGCUGGAAUUUGAAACUGCUCUCUGUCCCCCAAAUAAACCCAUUUGGUCAUGGUGUACAA